CAAUAGCGUAUAUUAAAGUUGUUGCAGUUAAAAAGCUCGUAGUUGGAUUUCUGGUGGGAGCGAUCGGUCUGGCGCUUAGCGCGAGUACUUGCAUCGUCUCCAGCCAUCCUUGGGGAAAGUCUGUCUGGCAUUAAGUUGUCGGGCAGAGGAUCCUCAUCGUUUACUGUGAAAAAAUUAGAGUGUUCAAAGCAGGCUUAUGCCGUUGAAUAUAUUAGCAUGGAAUAAUAAGAUAGGACUUUGGUACUAUUUUGUUGGUUUGCGCACCAAAGUAAUGAUUAAUAGGGACAGUUGGGGGUAUUCGUAUUCCGUUGUCAGAGGUGAAAUUCUUGGAUUUACGGAAGACGAACUACUGCGAAAGCGUUUACCAAGGAUGUUUUCAUUAA
rnacentral:rRNA from 1 species